rnacentral:lncRNA from 1 species
AAUAACAUCAAAAAUACAGGCACACGCACAUACAUGAGGUUAUCAUUUUCUCUUAAUUCAAGGAGGGUUACUUUUCACUUUAUUAAGAAGAUUAAAUCAUUAAUCUUUAGUUGUUAAUCCUUAUGUUUUAUCUAUCUGAUGACUUGUCUGACAUGCUUGAGACAGGCUUUCUGGAUGAAGAUGGUUUAAUUUGUAAACUUGUUUAAAAUUGAUGAGAAGAAAUUAAUAAGUAUGGAAGAGAGCUGAGACAAUUGAUUGGGAUAACUUUGGUUCAUAUAUGGGGGGAAUACCUUGUGAAAGAAAAAUGGGAUUGCGGGUGAGGAACUAAUAGUUGGCUUCUGUACCCAACUAGAAGCAAAUGGCUUAAGCAAAAUUUAUGUUUGGUCGAGGAUAAUGGCAUUAUUGGGUCACAGCAUGUGGUGGCAGGUGCCACAAGCUGUACUUCUUGGAUGCGGAUAAGAACAUUGAUUUAUAAUGAAACUAAUGCUGUGAAUUAUGAAAGUGGUACGUGUGACUCUGUGCCCUCGUCAAGGUACACAUUGUAACUCCAUGAAUGACCUGACAUGACCUCACGUCUAUUUCUCCUUUUACAGUUCCCUAAUCACUAAUCUAGAAGAAUAUUUUUGAUAAAUGGCUCAAAUCAAUUUCAGCUAGUUAAUGACAUGGAGAAAUGGUGCUUGGAGUUGAAGAAUAACAGAACAGAUGGUCACCUUCUGCCGAAGCUGUCUUUAACAAGUGGACUUGUAUUUUGUAACAUAGUCACAAUCAAACUAAUCAUUCUUUUAUUCUUUUGUACUUGGUGAGUUGGUGGUACUCAUACUAAUAACUCCACAAUGUCAAGUUGUACUGAAAUAGAAAU